rnacentral:rRNA from 1 species
GAUGAACGCUGGCGGCGUGCCUAAUACAUGCGAGUCGAGCGAACGGACGAGAAGCUUGCUCUUCUGAUGUUAGCGGCGGACGGGUGAGUAACACGUGGAUAACCUACCUAUAAGACUGGGAUAACUUCGGGAAACCGGAGCUAAUACCGGAUAAUAUUUUGAACCGCAUGGUUCAAUAGUGAAAGACGGUUUUGCUGUCACUUAUAGAUGGAUCCGCGCUGCAUUAGCUAGUUGGUAAGGUAACGGCUUACCAAGGCAACGAUGCGUAGCCGACCUGAGAGGGUGAUCGGCCACACUGGAACUGAGACACGGUCCAGACUCCUACGGGAGGCAGCAGUAGGGAAUCUUCCGCAAUGGGCGAAAGCCUGACGGAGCAACGCCGCGUGAGUGAUGAAGGUCUUCGGAUCGUAAAACUCUGUUAUUAGGGAAGAACAUAUGUGUAAGUAACUAUGCACGUCUUGACGGUACCUAAUCAGAAAGCCACGGCUAACUACGUG